GGUAAAGUGGCUGAGGGUAGGCGGUAGAUUGUAAAUCUAUUUAGGGGGAGUUCCUCCUUUACCA
rnacentral:tRNA from 1 species